rnacentral:rRNA from 1 species
UACACACCGCCCGUCACACCAUGGGAGUGGGUUUCACCAAGAAGUAGGUAGUCUAACCGCAAGGAGGACGCUUACCACGGUGAGAUUCAUGACUGGGGUGAAAGUCGUAAACAAGGUACC